rnacentral:rRNA from 1 species
UCGGGAAUUUUGGGCAAUGGGCGAAAGCCUGACCCAGCAACGCCGCGUGAGGGAUGAAGUAUUUCGGUAUGUAAACCUCGAAAGAAUGGGAAGAAUAAAUGACGGUACCAUUUAUAAGCUCCGGCUAACUACGUGCCAGCAGCCGCGGUAAUACGUAGGGAGCAAGCGUUGUUCGGAUUUACUGGGCGUAAAGGGCGCGUAGGCGGCGCGGUAAGUCACUUGUGAAAUCUCUGAGCUUAACUCAGAACGGCCAAGUGAUACUGCUGUGCUAGAGUGCGGAAGAGGCAACCGGAAUUCUUGGUGUAGCGGUGAAAUGCGUAGAUAUCAAGAGGAACACCUGAGACGAAGGCGGGUUGCUGGGCCGACACUGACGCUGAUGCGCGAAAGCCAGGGGA